UACGGAGGGUGCAAGCGUUAUCCGGAUUUACUGGGUUUAAAGGGUGCGUAGGCGGGCAGGUAAGUCCGUGGUGAAAUCUCUGAGCUUAACUCAGAAACUGCCAUGGAUACUAUUUGUCUUGAAUAUUGUGGAGGUAAGCGGAAUAUGUCAUGUAGCGGUGAAAUGCUUAGAUAUGACAUAGAACACCAAUUGCGAAGGCAGCUUACUACACAGUUAUUGACGCUGAGGCACGAAAGCGUGGGGAUCAAACAGG
rnacentral:rRNA from 1 species